UAAUAAACCUGACGGCAACGGCAUCCUUUUUGGCUAAGCGACAUUCAGUUUAAAGCUGAUUACAGCCAAAAAGAUAUAGUGAAAGGCAGGGCCAAAA
rnacentral:sRNA from 1 species